ACUCCAUUUCACAGUGCUAAUGCAUUGCACAACCGCUUAAGCGUCGAAACAAUCAAAAUAGCUCGCAAAUCGCGAAGAUUUCGUCGAUUUUGAAGAAAAAUAGCCGUCAUUUCCUUCCCGUUGGAGAUAUUUCGACGUUUAAGCGCUCGUUAAACUCCAUUUUACAGUGCAAAUGCAUUGCACAACCGUUUAAGCGUCGAAACAAUCAAAAUAGCUCGCAAAUCGCGAAGAUUUCGUCGAUUUUGAAGAAAAAUAGCCGUCAUUUCCUUCCCGUUGGAGAUAUUUCGACGUUUAAGCGCUCGUUAAACUCCAUUUUACAGUGCAAAUGCAUUGCACAACCGUUUAAGCGUCGAAACAAUCAAAAUAGCUCGCAAAUCGCGAAGAUUUCGUCGAUUUUGAAGAAAAAUAGCCGUCAUUUCCUUCCCGUUGGAGAUAUUUCGACAUUUAAGUGCUCGUUAAACUCCAUUUUACAGUGCAAAUGCAUUGCACAACCGUUUAAGCGUCGAAACAAUCAAAAUAGCUCGCAAAUCGCGAAGAUUUCGUCGAUUUUGACGAAAAAUAGCCGUCAUUUCCUUCCCGUUGGAGAUAUUUCGACGUUUAAGCACACGUUGACCUCCAUUUCGCAGU